UACGUAGGGGGCUAGCGUUGUCCGGAUUUAUUGGGCGUAAAGAGCGUGUAGGCGGCCAGGUAGGUCUGCUGUGAAAACUCGAGGCUCAACCUCGAGACGUCGGCGGAAACCAUCUGGCUAGAGUCCGGAAGAGGAGAGUGGAAUUCCUGGUGUAGCGGUGAAAUGCGUAGAUAUCGUAAGGAAGACCAGUGGCGAAGGCGGGUCUCUGGACAGUUCCUGACGCUGAGGCACGAAGGUCAGGGGAGCAAACGGG
rnacentral:rRNA from 1 species